AGAAAAAGCACCGGCUAACUACGUGCCAGCAGCCGCGGUAAUACGUAGGGUGCAAGCGUUAUCCGGAUUUACUGGGUGUAAAGGGCGAGUAGACGGCGUUGCAAGUCAGAUGUGAAAACCUAGAGCUUAACUUUAGGACUGCAUCUGAAACUGUAAUGCUAGAGUGCAGGAGAGGUAAGCGGAAUUCCUAGUGUAGCGGUGAAAUGCGUAGAUAUUAGGAAGAACAUCAGUGGCGAAGGCGGCUUACUGGACUGUAACUGACGUUGAGGCUCGAAAGCGUGGGGAGCAAACAGGAUUAGAUACCCUAGUAGUC
rnacentral:rRNA from 1 species